rnacentral:snRNA from 1 species
GUGCUCGCUUCGGCAGCACAUAUACUAAAACAAUACAGAGAAGAUUAGCAUGGCCCCUGCACAAAGAUGACAUGCAAAUUCAUGAAGCAUUCCAUAUUAAA